AUCUGGGAGGACCAUCUCCUAAGGCUAAAUACUCUCUAGUGACCGAUAGUGAACCAGUACCGUGAGGGAAAGGUGAAAAGCACCCCGGAAGGGGAGUGAAAUAGAACCUGAAACCGUGUGCUUACAAGUAGUCAGAGCCCGUUAAUGGGUGAUGGCGUGCCUUUUGUAGAAUGAACCGGCGAGUUACGAUUUGAUGCAAGGUUAAGCAGUAAAUGUGGAGCCGUAGCGAAAGCGAGUCUGAAUAGGGCGUUUAGUAUUUGGUCGUAGACCCGAAACCAGGUGAUCUACCCUUGGUCAGGUUGAAGUUCAGGUAACACUGAAUGGAGGACCGAACCGACUUACGUUGAAAAGUGAGCGGAUGAACUGAGGGUAGCGGAGAAAUUCCAAUCGAACCUGGAGAUAGCUGGUUCUCUCCGAAAUAGCUUUAGGGCUAGCCUCAAGUGAUGAUUAUUGGAGGUAGAGCACUGUUUGGACGAGGGGCCCCUCUCGGGUUACCGAAUUCAGACAAACUCCGAAUGCCAAUUAAUUUAACUUGGGAGUCAGAACAUGGGUGAUAAGGUCCGUGUUCGAAAGGGAAACAGCCCAGACCACCAGCUAAGGUCCCAAAAUAUAUGUUAAGUGGAAAAGGAUGUGGCGUUGCCCAGACAACUAGGAUGUUGGCUUAGAAGCAGCCAUCAUUUAAAGAGUGCGUAAUAGCUCACUAGUCGAGUGACACUGCGCCGAAAAUGUACCGGGGCUAAACAUAUUACCGAAGCUGUGGAUUGUCCUUUGGACAAUGGUAGGAGAGCGUUCUAAGGGCGUUGAAGCAUGAUCGUAAGGACAUGUGGAGCGCUUAGAAGUGAGAAUGCCGGUGUGAGUAGCGAAAGACGGGUGAGAAUCCCGUCCACCGAUUGACUAAGGUUUCCAGAGGAAGGCUCGUCCGCUCUGGGUUAGUCGGGUCCUAAGCUGAGGCCGACAGGCGUAGGCGAUGGAUAACAGGUUGAUAUUCCUGUACCACCUAUAAUCGUUUUAAUCGAUGGGGGGACGCAGUAGGAUAGGCGAAGCGUGCGAUUGGAUUGCACGUCUAAGCAGUAAGGCUGAGUAUUAGGCAAAUCCGGUACUCGUUAAGGCUGAGC
rnacentral:rRNA from 1 species